AUGGCGGCGCGUCCUGAGGGGAGCGAGGGGGGGAAGAAACUGGGCGUGGCUUCCCGCUCUGUGACGUCAUUCCCUCACUCCCGCCCUCACUUAAGAUGGCGUCCGCCCUCUUUCUUUUAUAGUGCGCAUGCGCCAGCUCAAUCCGGGCUCCUAUUGGCUGAUUCUUUUCCCGCGUCUCUCCCCUUUGGUCACGCCCUUCUAAGGGCAGCCCUUCAGCAAAAUGGCGCUUCCCGCCUUUCCAAACCGACCAAUCAGAUGCGUCGCUUUUGGCGGGCCGCGCCCCCUCAUCGCCGACUAAGCCCCGCCCAUCUUCCCCUCAUCCCUCAGGCCGCCAUGAUGGCGGCGGCGACCCCGCGGCUGCGGCCGCUGCUCCGCGCCUUCACGAUUCAGAGGUUUCGGGGUCCCCUUUGGAGCUGCGGAGGCGCCCCCGGGUUGGGCCCGGCCGUGAGGGGAGUGGCGAGCGCGGGAGAGCAGGUGAGGAUUUAAAGGGGAAAUUUUGGGGUAUUUUUUGGUUUUUUGUGGAAAUUUGAGGGAAAAUUGGGCGGUUUUGGGGUCACGUUGGAAUUUUUGGGUCAAAUUUUGGGGGUUUUGGUUAAAUUUGGGGGGUUUUGGGUCAAAAUUUGGGGUUUUGGGGGUUAAAAUUGGGCGGGUUUUGGGCGGGUUUUGAGGUCCUGAGGGGAAAUUUGGCGUCUGGGGUUAAAUUUUGGCUAUUUUUGGUUUUUUUGUGGAAAUUUGAGGGAAAAUUGGGCGGUUUUGGGUCAGGUUGGAAUUUUUGGGUCAAAUUUUGGGGGUUUUGGUGAAAUUUGGGUGGUUUGGGGUCAAAAUUUGGGGUUUUGGGGGUUAAAAUUGGGCGGAUUUGGGUCAAAAUUUGGGAUUUUGGAGUCAAAAAUUUGGGGUUUUUUGUGGAAAUUUGAGGGAAAAUCCGGGGGUUUUGGGGUCACGUUGGAAUUUUUGGGUCAAAUUUUGGGGGUUUUGGUGAAAUUUGGGGGGUUUGGGGUCAAAAUUUGGGGUUUUGGGGGUUAAAAUUGUUCAGGUUUUGGUCAAAAUUUGGGACUUUGGAGUCAAAAAUUUGGGUUUUUUGUGGAAAUUUGAGGGAAAAUCCGAGGGUUUUGGGGUCACGUUGGAAUUUUUGGGUCAAAUUUUGGUGGUUUUGGUUAAAUUUGGGGGGUUUGGGGUCAAAAUUUGGGGUUUUGGGGUCAAAAUUUGGGGUUUUGGGGGUUCAAAUUGUUCAGGUUUUGGUCAAAAUUUGGGAUUUUGGAGUCAAAAAUUUGGGUUUUUUCUGGAAAUUUGAGUGAAAAUCCGGGGGUUUUGGGGUCACGUUGGAAUUUUUGGGUCAAAUUUUGGCGGUUUUGGUUAAAUUUGGGGGGUUUGGGGUCAAAAUUUGGGGUUUUGGGGGUUAAAAUUGUUCAGGUUUUGGUCAAAAUUUGGGAUUUUGGAGUCAAAAAUUUGGGGUUUUUUGUGGAAAUUUGAGGGAAAAUCGGGCGGUUUUGGGGUCACAUUGGAAUUUUUGGGUCAAAUUUGGGUGGUUUUGGUUAAAUUUGGGGGGUUUGGGGUCAAAAUUUGGGGUUUUGAGGUCAAAAUUUGGAAUUUUGGGAUCAAUUUUUGGGGGUUUUGGUCAAAAUUUGGGGUUUUUGGGUCAAAAUUUGGGGUUUUGGGUCAAAUUUUGAGUUUUUUGGGUCAAACUUUCAGGAUUUUGGCAAAAUUUGGGUUUCUGGGGAUCAAAUUUUGGAUUUUUGAUCCCAAAUUUUGGGAUUUUUGGGUCAAAUUUUGAGGAUUUUGGUGAAAUUUCGUCUCAAAUUUGAUUUUUGAUCCCAAAUUUUGCAUUUUUUGGGCCAAACCUUGGGGAUUUUGGUAAAAUUUUGGAAUUAAACUGAAUUUUUGGAGCUUUUUGGGUCAAAUUUUCAGGAUUUUGGUAAAAUUUUGGGGUCAAAUUUGAUUUUUUGCCUCAAAUUCGGGUUUUUUUGGGUCAAGCUUUUGGGAUUUCGAUUAAAUUUGGGGUCAAAUUGGAUUUUUUAUCCCAAAUUUUGUGAUUUUUGGGUCAAAUUUUGACGGUUUUGGUGACAUUUUGGUCUCAAAUUUGAUUUUUAACCCCAAAUUUGGGAUUUUUUGGGUCAAACAUUCAGGAUUUUGAUGAAACUUGGGAAUAAAACCGAAUUUUUGGAGCUUUUUGGGUCA
rnacentral:lncRNA from 1 species